rnacentral:rRNA from 1 species
GCAGUCGAGCGAGAAAGGCCCUUCGGGGCUGAGUAGAGCGGCGGACGGGUGAGUAACGCGUGGGAAUCUACCCAGUGGUGGGGGACAACUUGGGGAAACUCAAGCUAAUACCGCAUACGCCCUACGGGGGAAAGCGGGGGACCUUCGGGCCUCGCGCCAUUGGAUGAGCCUGCGUCGGAUUAGCUAGUUGGUGGGGUAAAGGCCCACCAAGGCGACGAUCCGUAGCUGGUCUGAGAGGAUGAUCAGCCACACUGGGACUGAGACACGGCCCAGACUCCUACGGGAGGCAGCAGUGGGGAAUAUUGCGCAAUGGAGGAAACUCUGACGCAGCCAUGCCGCGUGUGUGAAGAAGGCCUUCGGGUUGUAAAGCACUUUCACUUGGGAAGAAAAGCUUAUCGUUAAUAGCGGUGAGCCGUGACAUUACCUUGAGAAGAAGCACCGGCUAACUCCGUGCCAGCAGCCGCGGUAAUACGGAGGGUGCGAGCGUUAAUCGGAAUUACUGGGCGUAAAGCGCGCGUAGGCGGUUGAUUAAGUCAGCUGUGAAAGCCCCGGGCUCAACCUGG